AUAAAUUAUUUUCUAAAAAAAAAAAAUCUGUUCUUAUCAGUUUAAUAUCUGAUACGUCCCCCAUCGGGGGACUACAUAUUAAAUGGAUUUUUCGAACAGGGAGUCGGAAAUGGGGCUUGCUCCGUCCGCUCCACGCAUCGACCCGUAUUGCAGUACCUCCGGGAACGGUGCAACACUU
rnacentral:snRNA from 1 species